rnacentral:misc_RNA from 1 species
AAAGUCGUAACAAGGUUUCCGUAGGUGAACCUGCGGAAGGAUCAUUGCAGAUCGGUUGGGAAGGGGAGAAGAGGAGAGUUGAAGCGGUGGGGGAGUGUGUGGGAGGAUGUUGGGGGAGUGGCUAAAAAGACGCUUUCUUGGGAGAGCGGCUAAAAAAACCACUACUCCAAAAACAACAACGCCCACACACCCCUCUCACAGGUUAGGGUCAGGGUUUGUUAGGGAUGGGAUGUUAAAAAAGCCAUUCAUUCUCAUUCUCACACCCAUUCACACCAUGUCAUUCACACACAACAACAACACACAACUCGCUUCAAUGGAUCUCUAGGCUCUU